UACAGAGGGGGCAAGCGUUAUUCGGAAUUAUUGGGCGUAAAGGGCGCGUAGGCGGCUUUGCAAGUGACGGGUGAAAUCCCUCGGCUUAACCGAGGAACUGCCUGUCAAACUGCAUGGCUUGAGACCGGGAGAGGUGAGUGGAAUUCCCAGUGUAGCGGUGAAAUGCGCAGAUAUCAGGAAGAACACCCGUGGCUAAGGCGGCUCUCUAGUACGGUACUGACGCUGAGACGCGAAAGCGUGGGGAGCGAACAGG
rnacentral:rRNA from 1 species